rnacentral:snRNA from 1 species
GUUCUUGCUACAGUGGUACAUACACUAAGAUUGGAAUGAUACAGAGAAAAUUAGCAUGGCCCCUGUACAAGAAUGACAUGCAAAUUCAUGAAGCAUUCCAUAUUUUU